CGAGCGGGCGUACAAUACGUCAGCGGCAGACGGGUGAGUAACGCGUGGGAACAUACCUUUUGGUUCGGAACAACACAGGGAAACUUGUGCUAAUACCGGAUAAGCCCUUACGGGGAAAGAUUUAUCGCCAAAAGAUUGGCCCGCGUCUGAUUAGCUAGUUGGUGAGGUAACGGCUCACCAAGGCGACGAUCAGUAGCUGGUCUGAGAGGAUGAUCAGCCACAUUGGGACUGAGACACGGCCCAAACUCCUACGGGAGGCAGCAGUGGGGAAUAUUGGACAAUGGGCGCAAGCCUGAUCCAGCCAUGCCGCGUGAGUGAUGAAGGCCCUAGGGUUGUAAAGCUCUUUUGUGCGGGAAGAUAAUGACGGUACCGCAAGAAUAAGCCCCGGCUAACUUCGUGCCAGCAGCCGCGGUAAUACGAAGGGGGCUAGCGUUGCUCGGAAUCACUGGGCGUAAAGGGUGCGUAGGCGGGUCUUUAAGUCAGAGGUGAAAUCCUGGAGCUCAACUCCAGAACUGCCUUUGAUACUGAGGGUCUUGAGUUCGGGAGAGGUGAGUGGAACUGCGAGUGUAGAGGUGAAAUUCGUAGAUAUUCGCAAGAACACCAGUGGCGAAGGCGGCUCACUGGCCCGAUACUGACGCUGAGGCACGAAAGCGUGGGGAGCAAACAGGAUUAGAUACCCUGGUAGAAUCACUAGUGAAUUC
rnacentral:rRNA from 1 species